rnacentral:lncRNA from 10 species
UUCUGGCAGGCUUCAGCUUCUUUUGUACUUUUAUACUUCCUUUGGCAAUCUAAACAGUAUAACUCUCUCCAUGUCCUUUGUGUUAGGCAAAGUUAUUGACUAAGAUCCUUAUGCAGAUGUGUGAGUCCGCGAAAGUCAGUAUCUAACAAGCAUCUCCUGUCCCCUGCCCCGUCUCAUGAACAUGCAAAGAUUUUAUUUGGUUGGACAGUGAAACUCCUAUUUGUGCAUGAUGUAUAUAAUCAUUCUAUUUGUUUGUCUCAUGAUCUGUCUUUUGUUUAAGUAGAUCUAUCUUAUUUAUCUUAAAUCCCUGAGAGUCCACUUCUCUAUGCUACGAUGUGAUGCAAGAGAUGGAUCAUCGUGGGAUACCCAGCAAGCAAUAUACUUAACCCACUACCACUUUAAUUGAUGUCUGAUCAUCACCAGGAAAGAGAAGAGAUGAACCCUUUCCAG